UCUAACAUGCCUACAAUAAGAACAAGUGAACAACUCUGUUACUAUGAAUCUAAGGACGGUAACUAUCCUUUACCAUUGUUCCUUUAAGAUUCAUGAUAACUUUUCGUCGUAGACGUAGAGCAUCAGCCACCUCCCGUAAAGGUAGAUCGAAGAUCUUCGAUCAAUACCCAUGGACACACAACCGCGAACGGGAACGCAGUACGGUGGUCGCUGGCAGCCGGCGAACCAAACCGGUGGGCAUGUCAAGCCACUCGAGAUCCUGACAGAGCAGUAACUCCCUACGGACACGCCCGCCCAACGACCCAGACUCGCUUCCAAACUCCAACGCACCGGACGGCGACAGUGGCCGCCGCCGCCGCCGCCGCCGCACAAACUGAAACUCACACGUGCGCCGCCGCCACGUAUCCCGCCGCACGGCAUCUGUAAAGCCUCCCUUGUCGCCUCCCGGCAUCCACCCCGCCCCCGCGCUUUUAUUCCCCCCCCCCCCCCCACGAUGCCGUCGCGCAGCUCGUCUCCCUCACCGGCCCGAGACCCCCGCACCCACCACCACGGCUCCCUCUCCCUCUCGCGCCCUGGCGCCGUCCCCAGCCGCCGCGAUGCCGCUCGCGGCGGAGCUCGAAGACGCGGAGGAGCAGGAGGAGGAUCGGAUGAAGGGGGCGACCGGCGCGCUUGAGGGCCUCGUGGUGGGGAGCUACUGCCACGACGUGCUGCUCCGGGGCGGACGCGUGGUGGGGGAGACGCUGGGUGGGGCCGCGGCCUUCGUGUCCAACGUGCUCGACGCCGCGUCGCCCAGGGAGGAGGAGACCGCCUUCGUCGUGGUGUCCAAGGUCGGCCCCGACUUCGCCUACGCCUCCGCGCCGGCGCCUUCGCGGCAUCUGCCGCUGCUCUGCGCCGCGCCCACCACCUCCUUCCACGCCAAGUUCUCCGACGCUGCCGCCUCGGCGCACGCCCCGGACCGGGAGCUCCGGCGGGUGCGCGCCUGCGACCCGAUCUACCCCGCCGACCUCCCCGACCGCCGCUUCGCCUACGGACUCGCCGUCGGUGUCGCAGGAGAGGUGCUGCCGCAGACGCUCGAGCGGAUGAUCCAGCUCUGCCGCGCGGUACUCGUGGACGCACAGGCGCUGAUACGGGCGUUCGACGGCGAGGGCGCCGUCCGCCACGUGGCGCUAGAGGGUACGCCGUACGCGCGGCUUCUCCCGCGACUGGCGUUUCUCAAGGCCUCGUCGGAGGAGGCGCCGUACGUGGGGGUGGAUACCGCGAGGCGGCGGUGCUGCGUUAUCAUCACCGAGGGGAGGGACGGGUGCCGGCUGUACUGGGACGGUGGGGAGGCGCGAGUCGCGCCGUUCCCCGCCGUGCAGGUGGACCCCACCGGCGCCGGAGACAGCUUUCUCGCCGGUUUCGCGGCCGGGCUGUUGUGGGGGUUGUCGGCGACGGACGCCGCGCUGCUGGGAAACUUCUUUGGCGCCGCGGCCGUCUCGCAAGUCGGCGUGCCCACCUUCCAUCCCAAGAUGUUGCAGAAGCAAAAUCGUACCUUUAACAUGCUACAGCUGCCUGCAACCUGGAAGUGACACAGAAAUAUCCAUCAAUGGCAUCUCCGGGUGAUUUAGACUUCUGUUGGAGCAGUAUUUGAUUGUCAGGCAAGAUUUGAGCGUCUUGAUCAUUUUGGCAUGACCCUGGAAGACUUGGCUUCAAACUUUCAAAGGUAGAAUUCUGAUGAUAUUGCAAAGGGCUGAACGAUCUGCAACCGUUUAGGGUAGCUUUCAGGCUGGAAGGAAAUAGCCGAUCCCGUUCUUUCAGACUGGAGCAGUAUUUGGUAGUCAAGCAAGAUUUUAGCGUCUUGAUCAUUUUGGCAUGACCCUGAAGACUUGGUUUCAAACUUUCAAAGGCUGUUAAAGAAAUACUUGAGGAGAAGACAAUAAAACGAUUUAGUACAUGUAUAAACGACGCUACUUUUACCUUCGAGAGGUCAAAUAUACACGAUGAAUUGCACGCAUCUCUCCGAGAAGCGGCAAGGCUGAUG